rnacentral:rRNA from 1 species
GACGAACGCUGGCGGCGUGCUUAACACAUGCAAGUCGAACGGUAAGGCCCUUCGGGGUACACGAGUGGCGAACGGGUGAGUAACACGUGGGUGAUCUGCCCUGCACUUCGGGAUAAGCCUGGGAAACUGGGUCUAAUACCGGACAGGACCACUGCCUGCAUGGGCGGUGGUGGAAAGCCUUUGCGGUGUGGGAUGGGCCCGCGGCCUAUCAGCUUGUUGGUGGGGUGAUGGCCUACCAAGGCGACGACGGGUAGCCGGCCUGAGAGGGUGACCGGCCACACUGGGACUGAGAUACGGCCCAGACUCCUACGGGAGGCAGCAGUGGGGAAUAUUGCACAAUGGGCGCAAGCCUGAUGCAGCGACGCCGCGUGAGGGAUGACGGCCUUCGGGUUGUAAACCUCUUUCAGCACCGACGAAGCGCAAGUGACGGUAGGUGCAGAAGAAGGACCGGCCAACUACGUGCCAGCCGCCGCGGUAA